UUCGGUGGUUAUAGCGUAGGGGCCACACCUGUUCUCAUCCCGAACACAGAAGUUAAGUCCUACUGCGCCGAUGAUACUGCAUUGGAGACGAUGUGGGAAAGUAGGUCGCCGCCGAAA
rnacentral:rRNA from 1 species